UCCGCCUCUGGUUUUCCAAGAGGCCUGUCGCUACCCCGGGGGACACUCUCAUCCUUCAGUCAGUCUCCUGGACACCCCUUCCUCCUCCUGUCCCUCAACCUGACCUGGCUCUUUCGCCCCUCCGAGAACCGGCUGCCUUGGAGUUCUCAUAAGAAAUUGUCCCUGGAAGUGUUGGAUGGUCACAGCUUCCUUGGAGCAUUGCAGUUGCUGGAAUCCAGUUUCAGGAUUAAGGGAGGGCUGCCUCCUUGCAAUGGGCUGCCAAGAAAACGGCUGUGCUUGUUCUUAACCUCAGGCUCUGUCUGUGAUCAGUCUGAGAGUCUCUCCCAGGUCUACUGCUCCCUGGAAAGCCCUAUCUCUCUGCAGGCUCGCCUCUGGGCUUUGUCUCCUUGGAGCCACAUCACUGGGACAGCUGUGGAUGUGGAUGCAGAUUUGAACCAUGUCACGGCCCCAGGGACUGCUAUGGCUUCCUUUGUUGUUCACCCCGGUCUGCGUCAUGUUAAACUCCAAUGUCCUCCUGUGGUUAACUGCUCUUGCCAUCAAGUUCACCCUCAUUGACAGCCAAGCACAGUAUCCAGUUGUCAACACAAAUUAUGGCAAAAUCCGGGGCCUAAGAACACCGUUACCCAAUGAGAUCUUGGGUCCAGUGGAGCAGUACUUAGGGGUCCCCUAUGCCUCACCCCCAACUGGAGAGAGGCGGUUUCAGCCCCCAGAACCCCCGUCCUCCUGGACUGGCAUCCGAAAUACUACUCAGUUUGCUGCUGUGUGCCCCCAGCACCUGGAUGAGAGAUCCUUACUGCAUGACAUGCUGCCCAUCUGGUUUACCGCCAAUUUGGAUACUUUGAUGACCUAUGUUCAAGAUCAAAAUGAAGACUGCCUUUACUUAAACAUCUACGU
rnacentral:sRNA from 1 species